rnacentral:rRNA from 1 species
CCUACGGGAGGCAGCAGUGGGGAAUAUUGGACAAUGGGGGCAACCCUGAUCCAGCCAUGCCGCGUGUGUGAAGAAGGCCCUCGGGUUGUAAAGCACUUUCAGUGAGGAAGAACGCCUGGUGGUUAAUACCCAUCAGGAAAGACAUCACUCACAGAAGAAGCACCGGCUAACUCCGUGCCAGCAGCCGCGGUAAUACGGAGGGUACGAGCGUUAAUCGGAAUUACUGGGCGUAAAGCGCGCGUAGGUGGCUUGAUAAGCCGGUUGUGAAAGCCCCGGGCUCAACCUGGGAACGGCAUCCGGAACUGUCAAGCUAGAGUGCAGGAGAGGAAGGUAGAAUUCCCGGUGUAGCGGUGAAAUGCGUAGAGAUCGGGAGGAAUACCAGUGGCGAAGGCGGCCUUCUGGACUGACACUGACACUGAGGUGCGAAAGCGUGGGUAGCAAACAGGAUUAGAUACCCUAGUAGUC